rnacentral:lncRNA from 1 species
AUGGUGGUGAACUAAAGAUGCCAACUGUCUUGAAAACAACCUGCAUCCCGCUUCCAGGGGAGGGUCAUGUGAAUGCCAGUGUGACUGGGUCUUGGGUAGUCUCAGCAGACACAGAGCAGAAGGAAGGCUAUCGUUGGAGUGGGCCAUCUUGGACAUAGAUCCUUGUACUUUCUGGCAAGCCUAAAAUCUUGGCAGUGAUGAUAACAAGGAAGUUAACAUCUACAAUUUCUUCAUGUAAAGUUUGAUCAUG